rnacentral:rRNA from 1 species
UUGAAAGGGAAACGAUUGAAGUCAGUCAUACCAACGGGAAAUCAACCUUUUGAGCUUGGUCUCGUGGGUUUUGAAGAGUUUCAAAGCCUUCGGACUCGCGGGAUUGGGAUCUCUUGGUGUACUUUCUCGUACGGUUAGUCAACAUCGGUUUUGAAUGUCAUAAAAUGACUGGAGGAAUGUAGCUUCUUGAAGUGUUAUAGCCUUUGGUAGAUGUGAUGUUUGAGACCGAGGAUUGCAACGGAUACCCUUCAGGGCUAUUCGUCUGAUCUCUGAUACGUUGCCUUGAUGUUGAAAGCUUGCUUAUGAUGUCAGGGUAUUACGGUCAAAAGGUUAGAACGAAUUACAUUCGUUAAGGAUGUUGACGUA